ACUACAAAUUAAUCGUCCUUAUUUUCUCCAGGUGCAUUCUAGGUAAAGCUUGUCACCAACGUCAUCAUCAGUCAGUUGGCAACAAAUAGCAAACUAGCUAGAACUACGGAAUGUUAACAUGUUUUGAAUUUGUGUUGUUUCCAGUGACCAGUGGCCUUUUGUUUCUGUUCUUCUCUUGGUUUAUUGUACUUCAUGUCAGAUGGACUUCAAAAUGGCAUAGUCGCUCUCUGUGGUGGUGAAACUUGUUAGCUCCGCUGUUGCGGCCAUGUCUAUGUUGUAAAGUAAAAUUAUCAUGAGCUUUAUUAUUUGGGCCCGGUCAUUAGCCCCGCCCACCGGCCGACGCCGUCUUGUUCCGCUACUGCGUCACAUGUUUGCCUGAGGAGCAGAGGCAGCAGUAUGGCGUCUUGUCUGGAGCUUAUUGUAACAAGGUAAGUUUCAUGUUAAAAUUAUCAUGUUUUUGACUAUUUCUUAUGGAGGCAUUAUUUUUACGUUUACACGAGUACAUUUAUUUGUUGGACUGUUUAUUAUCUUAACCUAACUUUAAACUGUCAGGAAAAUCUGGAGGCCAUUUGAAUUAGCAUUAUUUUGCUGCGGGGUCAUUUUCUUUAAGUUUUUGUUGUAGACUGCCAAAUGGGGGAGUGGCUGUGCUGGACGGUUGGCUUGAUCUAAGCCACAGGUGUCAAACUCCAGUCCUGGAGGACCACUGUCCUGCAACAGUUAGAUGGUGCCGCUGCUGCACCACACCUGAAUACAAUAAUUAGACUUCAACACAUUUCUUCAGACAGGUGGGCAGAGUAAUUUGAAUGACUAUGACGGUGACACACACAGGUCAGUCUGAUUAGUUUUGCUCACACUACUUUUUAAAAUAUUUAUUUAUUAUCCUAAUGUUUCUG